rnacentral:tRNA from 1 species
GGUUGUGUAGCUCAGUGGUAGAGCACUUGCUUAGCAUCGAUGAGGCUCUGGGUUCACUGCCUAGCACUGCUG